UUCCUUCUUUAUUAUGCAUUUUCGGCAGGUGUGACUUAUACUCUGGAGCGACUUAUGUUCUGAAAAAUAUGGUAUGUAUAAUCAACGCUGUAUCAAUGUCUUGUGCCUGCUGGGUUAAUUUUUUUUUUUUUAAUCAUUUUGAUGAUCAUCGUUUACAGUUUUGACAACCCACAAUUUUCAAUUUGAGUUUUUUCCAAAUUAUAAGCCAUAAUCAUUCAAAUUAAAUCAAACAAAGUCUUGAAAUAUCUUGAGUUGCAUGUUAUGAGCUUAUGUCAUAUAUUAGUACCAUUUUGUAAACUUAAUUGCUGGUAUGAACGAACCAUUACUCGAUAUUCUUUUUUUUUUUUUUUGUUUCACCUGUAUCCGAUUAAUUUAAUCAAUUAUUAAAUUUUUGUUCACUCUUGUUAUUUUGGGUUAAAACUAACCCUAGUAUAGUUUUUAUGCGGGUGCAGUUGGUUGGAAGCGUGAACCAGGGACCAGACAUAACGAGAGAUCAUUCUCAGUACGCUUGCUUUAUACUUUUUCUGAACUCCAACCGAGCCCCACAAAAUCGAUGGCUAAUAUAUUUUUGAUCCAGACCAGAAAAGUAGUGUGAAUGCACCCGGUAGCACAUCUAAAAAUAACCAUCACACCACAAUUACACAAUUAAUUAAUUGACAUCUCUGUUGUUCUAAUUUUUUGAAAGCAAUCUCAAAUCCCUCUGCAUCAACUCUGUGACCAUUUCCCAAUCCCGAGAAGUUUUUUUCUGAGUACAGAAAGUAAAACGAGCUCAACUAUUGGAUAUGAGAAGACAAUACACUCAAAGAAGGAGAGGCAUCACACUCUUAUUGAGCUUUAACCCUCAGCUCUGAACUUCUAAUGGACCGAGUUGAAUAAUUUACCAGGUGAGCUUCAGUUCCUCACUCCUGUAUCACAGGAAAUAUAAAAGUUAUUGACCCAAGGUAACUAGCUACAGGAUUUUUUCUUGGUAACCUGCUAAGUUUUGCAGACAAAUAAAACAUAUUAAAAGAUCAUGCUUUUGCACUAAACAAUGUUUAUCACUGAUAUAAAGGGGCUUGCAAAAGUAUUCACUCAUCUUGAACCUGUCCAUUUUUUGUCACAUUACAACUUAUCUAUCAAUCCAUUUUCUACCAUUUGUCCCUCUCGGGGUCACAAGGACAAGCAUGAAUAUAUUUUAUGUGAAAGACCAACAUAAAAUAGUAUACCAUUUGAAAAUGAAAGAAAAUAAUACGGUAUGGCUUUUUUUUUUUUUUUACAAAGACAAUUUUCGCACCUGUAGUGACAGAAAUGUUUGGCCAUUCUUAUUUGCUAAAAAGCUCAAGUCAGAUUAGAUAGAGAGCAUUCGUGAAAAACAGUUUUCAGAUCUUGCCACAUAUUUUCAUUUGGUUUAGGUCUGGACUUUGACUGGGCCAUUCUAAUACAUGAAUGUUUUGUUUUAAACCAUUCCCUUGUAGACCUCCAUUUAGAUGAACAUCCACCCCAGUCUCAAGUAUUCUGCAGACUCCAUUCAAUCAAUCAAAGUUUAUUUAUGUAGCCCUUAAUCACAAAUGCCUCAAAGGGCUACAUAAACCACAACAACAUCCACUGCUCUGAUCCCAUAUCAGGGCAAGAAAAAAACUUAAGCCAAAGGGAACAAUGAGAAGCCUUGGUAGGGACCACAGAUGUGGGGCUUCCACUGAGGUAGUAUCUCUAACUGGAGCCCGACUAGAAAAUACUCUUGCAGGCUCUGGGAAUCACUAAUAAACCGGAGUUCUUAGAAAGCAGAUUUCUGGCCGGGACAUAUGGUACACUACAAUCAGAUAGGAUGGAGCUAGACCGUUAAUUAUUUUUUACGCAAGUCGUAAAACCAUAAAGUCACAUCUUAAGUGCACAGGAAGCCAGUGCAGGCGAGCCAGUAUAGGUAUAUAUGUAUGUAUAUAUGUAUAUAAAGGUAUAUACAGUAUAGGUAUAUAUGUAUGUAUAUAUGUAUAUAAAGGUAUAUACAGUAUAGGUAUAUAUGUAUGUAUAUAUGUAUAUAAAGGUAUAUACAGUAUAGGUAUAUAUGUAUGUAUAUAUGUAUAUAAAGGUAUAUACAGUAUAGGUAUAUAUGUAUGUAUAUAUGUAUAUAAAGUUAUAUACAGUGUAGGUAUAUAUGUAUGUAUAUAUGUAUAUAAAGGUAUACAUAGUAUAGGUAUAUAUGUAUGUAUAUAUGUAUAUAAAGGUAUAUACAGUACAGGCGUAAUACGAUCAAACUUUCUUGUUCUUGUCAAAAGUCUAGCAGCCGCAUUUUUUACCAACUGAAAUAUUUUUAUGUUAGACAAAGGGAGACCUGAAAAUAAUACGUUGCUUACAAAAUGUAACAAAUACAUGAAUAAUGAUCUCAGCGUCGUAGUGGACAAAAUGGGACGGAUUUUAGCGAUAUUACCGAGAUGGAAGAAGGCUGUUGUAGUAACAAUCUCCAAACAGGUUUUCUUCCAAGAUUUCCUUGUAUUUAGCUCCAUCCAUCUUCCCAUCAUCUAUGACCAUUUUCCCUGUCUCUGCUAAAAAGAAACAUCCCCACAGCAUGAUGCUGCCACCACCAUUAUUGACAGUAGGGAUGGUGUGUUCAGAGGUAUGUGCAGGGUUGGUUUUCUGCCACACAUUUUGCUUUGUUUUUUUCAGUCAGUUCAAUUUUGGUCUGGUGUGACCAAAGCAGCUUCUCCCACAGGUGUGCCGUGUCCCCAACAUGGCUUCUGGCAAACCUCUUGUGGUUUUAUUUAAACAACAGCUUUCUUCUUGCCACUCUUACAUUAAAAAAAACACAUCUGCACAGUGCACGACUAAUAGAUGUCCUCUGGACAGAUUCCCCUACCUGAGGGGUGGAUCACUGCAAUUGGUUCAGAGUCACCGUGGGUCACUUGGCUUUAUUUCUGAUCAGUGCUCUCCUUGUUCGGUCUGUAAGUUUAGGUGGAUGGUCUUGUCUUGUAGGAAGUCUACCAUGAUGGAAACCUUUUUAUAGCCUAAGCCUGUUUUAAACUUCUCCACAACUCUAUGUCUAACCUGUUCUGUGUGUUCCUUGGACUUCAUAAUGCUGUAUGCGCUCCAAAAUUCUCUGAACCAACCUCUGAGGCUGUGACACAGCAGCUGUACUUGAAAAGCGCUAUAUAAAUAUAUAAUUCACUUCACUACUGAGAAGAGAUUGCAGACGUGUGGACUGUUUUGAUUCAUCAGCAACCGUCAGGCAACUUUUGAAGGCAAUUAGAGAAACUGGGACUGAGUACUUUUGUCUGAGUACUGAUGCACAUUCUGUGUUGAUCUUUCACAUGAAAUUCCAAUACAAUCUGUUUGUGUUUGUAAUGUGACAAAUCAUGGGAAAGUUUUGCAAGCCAAUAAUUCACAGCAAAUUGGAUUCGUUGAUUUAGAAUAUUUUAGAGUAAGUUUGUGUCAUCAGUUUGGUUCAGUCCAAAUUUAAAUGAAGUCAUAUUUAACCUUCUGGUUACAUUCAAUUUUAAUCGUCUUUUUUUGCUAGAACUUCAGUCCAAAACCAAAAUAUUAAACAUGUAUGUUUAUUUAUUUACCCUUUUGAAGGCCUAUUGAUCGGCCAAUGACUUAGGUUUAAAGGGAACAUUAUCAGCAGACCUAUGCAAGCGUCAAUAUAUACCUUGAUGGUGCAGAAAAAAGACCAUCUAUUUUUUUAACCGAUUUCCGAACUCUAAAUGGGUGAAUUUUGGCAAAUUAAACGCCUUUCUGUUUAUCGCUCUGGAGGGGGUGACGUCAGAAUGUGACGUCGCCGAGGUAAUACAGCCGCCAUUUUCAUUUUCAACACAUUGUAAACAUUGGGUCUCAGCUCUGUUAUUUUCCGUUUUUUCGACUAUUUUUUGGGACCUUGGAGACAUCAUGUCUCUACGGUGUUUUGUUGGAGGGUGUAACAACACUAACAGGGAGGGAUUCAAGUUGCACCACUGGCAAGAAAUCUGCCGCCAGACCCCCAUUGAAUGUACCAGAGUGUCUCCACAUUUGACCGGCGAUACUAAGACAGACAUGGCACAGAGAUGUAUGGAUAACCUGCAGCAGAUGCAUUUGCAACCAUUAAGUCAACCAAAUCACAAAGAUGAGUUUUGUUGUUGACUUAUGUGCUAAUCAGACAUAUUUGGUUGCGGCGUGACUGCCAGCUAAUCGAUGCUAACAUGCCAUUUACCGCGAUGACAGACAUGGCACAGAGAUGUAUGGAUAACCUGCAGAUGCAUUUGUAACGAUAAAUUCAACGAAAUCACAAAGGUGAGUUUUGUUGAUGUUGUUGACUUAUGUGCUAAUCAGACAUAUUUGGUCGCGGUGUGACUGCUAGCUAAUCGAUGCUAACAUGCUAUGCUAAUCGACGCUAACAUGCUAUUUACCGGCGGUGCUAAAGCAGACAUGGCACAGAGAUGUAUGGAUAACCUGCAGAUGCAUUUGUAACGAUAAAGUCACAGAAAUCACAAAAGUGAGUUUUGUUGAUGUUGACUGCCAGCUAAUCGAUGCUAACAUGCUAUUUACCGGCGGUGCUAAAGCAGACAUGUCACAGAGAUGUAUGGAUAACCUGCAGAUGCAUUUGCAACUAUAUUAUGUUUCCUUCCACCCACAUUUAAUGCGAAACAAACACUUACCAAUCGACGGAUUUAAGUUGCUCCAGUGUCAAAAGAUGCGAAAGUCCUGAUCGUUUGGUCCGCACAUUUUACCGGCGAUGCUAACGCAGCUAUUCGGCCAUGCUAUGGCUAUGAAUAGCGUCAAUAGCUAUUUGCUCAAUAGUUUCAGUUUCUUCUUCAAUACUUUCAUACUCCAACCAUCUGUUUCAAUACAUGCGUAAUCUGUUGAAUCGCUUAAGUCGCUGAAAUCCGAGUUUGAAUCCGAGCUAAUGUCGCUAUAUCUUGCUGUGCUAUUCCCAUUGUUUGUUUACAUUGGCAGCACUGUGUGACGUCACAGGGAAAUGGAUAGUGGCAUCGUAAAUAGCGAAAAUCAAGCACUUUAAAGCUUUUUUUUAGGGAUAUUCGGAGACCGGUAAAAUUUUGAAAAAAACUUCAAAAAAUACAACAUGCCACUAGGAACUGAUUUUUAUUGUUUUUAACUCUUUUGAAAUUGUGAUAAUGUUCCCCUUUAAAUGAGGGAAACAACUCAUGCUAGACCAAUGUUUACUCGUGUAAAACAUUGGAAUCAGUUGAUUACAGUUCCUUCAAAAAAUUACAAUAACUUUUGAUGUUUGGUAUUUUUGUUUAGAACUGAAGUUGACAGACAUAUGAUCAAAAAUGUAUUGAAAUAAAUCUAAAAUGUUUUAAUGCCUUCUGUAAAAUGGACAUUCGUGUCCGUUUGGUUUUGGAAUUCUGUGCAAUAACUGCCAGUGUAUCAUUCACCUGUGACAGGAUUGGGCAUGACCAUUUUAACUAACAAGAAAGUAACACUCAUGAAAAUUCAGGUUUAAUGAAUUAACAACCAAAACUACGAUAUAUUACAUGUAAUUAUUAUAUCGAAGAUUUAACAUCGCUUUUAUUGAAGACUCUUCGACAAAUACUUUGACGAGCAGAGAGGGUGGAGCCAAGCUGACACUUGGUACUUUGCCACGAGUCCUUUUGGGACUCGAUUCCUUGGAAUGUUUGGUGAGAAAAUGGACUACUUUAUGUGCAAUGUUUGGCCGUCCAAUAACAGACGGCAUAUGAAAGCUGCAGCAAAAUUGUGCACGGGGAAGAAAGGUACACUGUAUAUUUUCCUUCUUUUACAUCAACUAUCAUCACGUUUUUGGAUGGUUAAAAAAAAACAUUUAUAAGUCAUUGUCUUUUUGGUACAUUUUGAGAUUCGUUAAAAACCCAGAUUUGGUGAAUUUGACAACUUGUUUGUACACUGGCAGAAUGUCACUAAUGGUUAGCGUGUGUGUUUGCUUUUGAUGUGAUGACUCUGACUUGAUUUUUAAGAAUCACUGUACAGACAAAGGAUUUUUCCUUAAUCUGUUAUUUUACUUUUUUGGUAAAAUGCUUUGCCUUGACAUGUAGAUAGUUGUUUACUAGACAUGUUGCAGGCUUGUACAUGAUAAAUGUACCUAAUGUCCGUGCUGCUGCGUUAAAAAAAUGGAAGUAAAAUAGCGUCUAAAAACCGGUGAAAAUGUUUCUGUAAAUAUCCUACAAGUGAUCCUUCACAUGCCUCUAGGACUUGCAAAAUGUAUUUAACAAUCGAUUGCUGUUACUUAUUAAUAUAUAGAAAUUAAAACACUUUACAAGUGUGUCUGUCAUUUUAAGCCUUCCAAACAUCUUUUUUUCCUGCAUUACUUAUAAUAAAACAUUGCAUUUUGAAA